rnacentral:tRNA from 1 species
GCCUCAGUGGUUCAGAUGGUUAAAGUGCUUGGCUACUAACUGAAAGGGUAGAAGUUCAAAUCUACUCAGGGGCA